UAAAAUUCCUCAGGAUUGGGUCUUCAAGGUGCUGAUUCCAAAGGAAUUUACACAUGAGGUCCGACCUCUGGAAAAAAUCCACAGGAUUGGCUAUGUCAUGGCAAUCAAAUCCUCCAUUUUUCCUAUUCCUUUGUUUUGCAAAUCCUGUGAUCCAAAGAAGCCCACGUCUUCGUCUUCGAUUCCCCAAUCCCCACUUCCCCAUCUCCCGUCUCCUCCACCCAAAAAUCCUCCUAAAUUGCCAGUCUGCGCACCUGCCGGCGGAACCCUAGCUCUGGAGCGACUGCCAGAUCAGGACGGCUGAAUCGGCGGCUCCUUCCCCGGCGCCGCACUUCGGAGGCUUGCGCUGCCCGGCGCGUCCCCCACCCGCAUCUUUCACCUUCAGGAUUCACGCCGCUCCGACCCGAGGGCUUUGGAGGCUUGCUGUUGCUGCCCUCCUCUUCACCGCUGUGCGUGCACACGAGUCUGAUAUGCUUGUUCCAGUUUAGUGCAGCCACCCCCUAUUAAUUCCAUUUUCUCUGAUGCACGGUGGUCGGACGGUAGUCACCUCUACCUUCUGUCGCAGCGUAUCCAGGCAUCAAGCACUCUAUGGAAGCAUCCAAUCUCGCCGCUCUGCCAACUUCGCCUGAACGCUGACUGCCAAUGCUCCAUAUACCGUCAUACAAUCUUGCCAUUCUACCUACUUCGCCGGAACACCGA